AACGAACGCUGGCGGCAGGCCUAACACAUGCAAGUCGAGCGCCCCGCAAGGGGAGCGGCGGACGGGUGAGUAACGCGUGGGAAUAUGCCCUUUGCUACGGAAUAGUCUCGGGAAACUGGGGGUAAUACCGUAUACGCCCUUUGGGGGAAAGAUUUAUCGGCGAAGGAUUAGCCCGCGUUGGAUUAGGUAGUUGGUGGGGUAAUGGCCUACCAAGCCGACGAUCCAUAGCUGGUUUGAGAGGAUGAUCAGCCACACUGGGACUGAGACACGGCCCAGACUCCUACGGGAGGCAGCAGUGGGGAAUCUUAGACAAUGGGGGCAACCCUGAUCUAGCCAUGCCGCGUGAGUGAUGAAGGCCUUAGGGUUGUAAAGCUCUUUCAGCUGGGAGGAUAAUGACGGUACCAGCAGAAGAAGCCCCGGCUAACUCCGUG
rnacentral:rRNA from 1 species